rnacentral:lncRNA from 1 species
GUGAGGGGACUUGGUGGCGUUCGGGAUGCUGGGAUAGAAAAUUUACUCUGGUGCCUUGGCAGAAUCUGGAGUGCUGGGAUGGGGAAGUUCUUCAGAGAGCACUGAGGUCACGCAGCUGAGUUUUCCUCCUUGUCUUCAAGACACAGGAACUUGCAUUCAGCUACAAAACCGAGCGGGCUGCAAAUCUCAUCAUAUCAUAUGACUCCGAGCAGUAGCCUUAAAAUCAAUGAGGCAAAGAGGUGCAGAAUCCCAUUUAAAUGAGGAGAGAAGAGAAUCCUUCGCUUUUCCCAAAGCCUUGGUUGGAUAAAAGUCUGGAGAGGCUUGGGUCACAAAUGCAGUGAUGAGCAACAUCAACAAAAGGAAGACUUAGCAGCAUGGACCAGUUAAGUGUUUUGGACUGCCAGAUUUGAAAAUGCAUAAGAUAACUGCAUGGUGUUGAACUAGAUUGAGGUCUAUUACAUUUUUGAAAAGUUGCCACAGCCUUGGAUGCCUUUACAGCAGUGCUGUACAAUCAUAGGUUGAAAAACUCAGGCUUUGCUUUGUAGCAGCUGCUGUUGGGUGGGAUCCAUCUCACUUAUCUUUAGUUGAGAUAUCUUUUGUCUCCUGUUAUAGUCAGUGGAGGAAAAUAGCCUCUUGGAGGACACAUUCCUCUGAUCUAUUCUGGUCUGAGAUGAAGUGAGUCCUUCCCAUCUCCAGCUGUAGGUGUCCCUGUUCAUUGCAGGGGAAUUGGACCAAAUGAAAAUCAACUAGUCAAAUUCCUCUGCAAUGAACAGGGACAUCUACAUGAACAGAGACUGACAUAGAUCCCUUUCAACUCAAACGAUUCUAUGAUUUUAUGAUUCUAUGAUGACAAGCAAUUCAGUGGCAGUCCUCUGUGUCAGAAAAGUCAUGUGAAAAUAUUUGCUAAUUUUUACAGCAACACAUUGGUUCUUCCACUCACUUGCCACUUAAGGAUUCAGGUGUUUUGUAUCCCCAAGUCCCCAGUGUAAUGCAAAGGAUAAGGAAUGUCUGCAGACAGUUACUGUGACAUGAGUGGGAGGAGGACACAGAGAUCUGCCCUUUUCAGGAUGACACGUACAUUUUUUAUUUGAAUUUAUUUCUCAUCUGUAGAGAAGUUAUUUCUGAAAACAAGGGCCCUUGAGAAAAUUUUCUUUAACUGAUAGUUCAAACAGGUUUCAUUCAUAAUGCCAUCAGAAUGGAUCUCUGUUGAUUAAAGAGUAAGUGGUGCUUAUU